rnacentral:rRNA from 1 species
UGGGGAAUAUUGGACAAUGGGCGAAAGCCUGAUCCAGCCAUGCCGCGUGUGUGAGGAAGGUCUUCGGAUUGUAAAGCACUUUAAGUUGGGAGGUAGGGCAUUAACCUAAUACGUUAGUGUUUUGACGUUACCGACAGAAUAAGCACCGGCUAACUCUGUGCCAGCAGCCGCGGUAAUACAGAGGGUGCAAGCGUUAAUCGGAAUUACUGGGCGUAAAGCGCGCGUAGGUGGUUUGGUAAGUUGGAUUUGAAAUCCCCGGGCUCAACCUGGGAACUGCAUUCAAAACUGACUGACUAGAGUAUGGUAGAGGGUGGUGGAAUUUCCUGUGUAGCGGGGAAAUGCGUAGAUAUAGGAAGGAACACCAGUGGCGAAGGCGACCACCUGGACUAAUACUGACACUGAGGUGCGAAAGCGUGGGGAGCAAACA